CAGAGACACACCAUCGUGUUCUGCCUGAAUAAAUGCAAGAGGGACUCAAAUACCACUUUGGACAGCAAGUCCAUUUAAAUCUAAGUGUUUUCCUAUCGAUCCUCCAUUUUUUCCUGGAAAAUGCACAUGCUGUUUUGCUGUGGAAGAGUCCUCUGUGUCUGAGAGCUUGGAAGGGGGUGUUAAUUUAGGUUUUCCUCCUCACUCAGUGGGAUUCAAAGGACAUCCAACUUGUUUUGCCAUGCCAGCCUGUCGUUUUAUUCCACCUGGCCUCUUGUGCAAAUAAAAUCACCCCAUGGGUUUGCAAGGUCUGCUCACAAGAGUGUUAUAGCUAAUUACUCAAAGGAGCCAUGGUGAUGCUAAGCAGAGCAUGCCCAGAACUGCUUCUCACCUGACAUCCAAAGAACAAGCAUGCAUUACAAGCCCUGAUCCUUGAGGUCACCUCCUCCUGAAGCAAGGUGGGUUUUCCUCAGUACAUCCAACGCAGUCCUUGCCUGGUGUGACCUCCAGACCCAACACACCACCGGCCUCACAGGCUGCACAGGGCCAGGGGUCGUGUCAGUGCUUCUGACACUGCAGCGUCCAUUAGAAAGAUGCAUUAGGCUUUAAUGUAAACAAACAGGCUGUGGUACAAGGAGCUGUAUUUCAAUUACUUAAGCCCUAAUGCCAAACUUGCUCUGUUUCAGAAGCAAGGAUAAUACAGCACUGACAAAGUAUAUUAUCCUUGCUUUUCAGUAGCCACAGAUAAGUAUCACUAUGUCACUGUGAAAAAAUGCGCUCAAUUAUCCUAUGUUGUUAUUACUUAAUCUGUGUUUCAAAAAAAGCUUUAGACUGAAAAGAUGUUAGAUAAAGGCUAAGUAUUGCAGAUAAAGGCAUUGCUUCACUGAAUAUAUGCUGUAAAAGCAUGAGCUGUGGUUCCACACAUUUAAAUGAACCAGGCUCCUCUCAGCACGUUCCACUACUGGCAGAGUCACAGGCAGGACUGGCUGCUUGCACAAGAAGGUGGUUUUGGAGCCCUAAGAGCAAAAUGCAGAGGUAGGCUGGCGAAGGAGCCUGGUCCAUGUCAGGGAGAACCUUUUCAAAGACUUCCAAAAGGCUUGGUAUGAAUCUCCUCCCCAACUCAUGGAGACCGGGUCCCUGCUGGCACCACACUUACAAUGGCACAGCAGAAGGGGAUGGCCCAGCCUGAGGCUUUCUCAAAUGAACAAAGGAGCUUUAUCCAGAAGACCCUGGCCACCAAAUUCUCAUUCUCUACACUGUCACCAGCAAGAAGUAGCAGGGCUCUGGAUACCCAUGUUUGGAUUCCAGCUGCAGCCCCCUGCCAGUGCUGUGUACUUUAAUGGUCCUAGAAAAUGAGUCCAGCACACUGAAUUGAUGACAAAUUGAUUGAAACCAGAUGUCGUGAAAAAAGCCUUUUCCAAGUUCAACGGCACAUGAAUGGUCUCAGCCUGCCCCUGGAUAAUCCGACUUCUGUGCCCCAGUCUGCCACAAUAAACUAACUGGGAGGUUAAUAUUUUGUCUCUGCGCUGUGAACUCCUUGGGGAAAGGAGCUUUUUAAUUGCAUACACAGCCCAUGACCUGGUAGGCUCUAAAUCUCACUGGGUGAUGGGCAGAGUCAUAGUGGGACCUCAGCUGAACACCCUGAGCUCAUGUUACUGUCUGGAUUAGCAAAACUCCAGACUGUUACAUCGCCUGUAGUCUUCAGGCAUUGCUGGGAGUUUGGUUUCCCCACUGAGCUCAGCUCUUUUUUGGCAUCGUCAAAGGAAGACAAACAAAACACUGCAGGUACAAAGGCACAGGAGGAAAAGCAGCAUCAAGCUGUUGUUUGGCCAAGCCAGCAGAUGCAUGGUGGCAAUAUUGGCUUUGUAGGAGAGCAGAGGUGGCCAGAGCCUGCACGCCCAGGUCUCACCGCUUUGCAGACCUCAUCACAACAGAUAUAUUUACACUGGAUACGCCUAAUUAACACACCCUGCCAGACCCAAGCUUGCUCUCUUCAGCCUGCACAUGCAGAGCAAGACCACGGUUUGGUCAGCUUGUGCUCCCCAAGGCAGAUAAAAAUGACCUCAAAAGCCAAGCUUGAUUCAUGGACUGCCAUCAGAGGGUCCCUGGGAGGAUGAAUGAUUGAUCCUGUUUACCUUUGGCACAGCAAGGCAUUUAACAUCAAGUUGGGAGAAGCUUUGUAGUUGUUAUUCUAAUGGGCUUCAAGACAGAACUAUUUGUUUUGGAGCAUGAUAAGACUUUUCAGACCACUGGCUCCCCGGGCAAGGCUCUGAAAGUCUAUCACAGCACGUGUGAAGCCACAGCACCGAACAUGCUCUGCAGAGCAUUACCCAGGAAACCUGCCCCUGUUAUAUUUCCUUGUCAAAAUUACAAAAAGCCCAACAAAUCCUACAGUGCUCAGCCCACAUCUCUUCCAAAAGCUGGGGGAAGAAGCCUGCAGAGGAAAGGUUGAGAGCAGACUCUCCUGGUGACUAAUGCAGCUGAGAUAAGCAUCUAGAUGCUCGCUAAAACAUACAGUAUCACACGCAAUUAAAGGCUCCUUCUGAGAUUUUGCAAGCAGCCAGUAACUCCUACCCAGCCAUCUGCCCAGAGAGGGCCUCUGACUUGUCAACCAAUCCAUUUCCCCCAGUGCCACAGGCUGGGUGAUACCGAUCUCUGCUGUGUUUUCUUACCAGAGCUUUGAUGUACAGUCUCCUCGCAGGGGCAGCCCCCUUUGGGGAACAAAGCUCUGCUCUAGCCGGGCUCCUCACCAGUUGUCCAGGUAUUAAGUUCUUUUUUCCAGCUUCGGGGCACCCUAUCACUAACCUUUUCCACUGACCUUUUGCAGGGAACCUUCUGCUCGUGGCCAUCUGCGUCCUUUUCUUUUCAAGCAUUCACCUGAGCAUUUGCAGCAAGCAAUUACAUACACACACACUGGUUUGCAUCAGUCACAAAAGCUGUGAGCCUCCAAUUAACCACCUCAUGCCUUUUAAUGAUACAACGCUGAACAAGGAAGAGAAUUAGAGGGAACAUCCUCAGAAGUGGUUUGCAGCAGGACAGAGCCGUCCUUAUUAUUGUUUGUAUGAGGGUAGCACCUAGGAAACUCAGCUAGAGGCUGUGAAAACAAUUGGAGAACUUGGGGAAUUAAUUGAAUAUGGAGAAUUUAUAGUCUACAGGACAAGACAAUGUAGGUGGGUGAGGUGUCGUGCAAUGAGAACACAAGGAUUUUCUAAGGAUCAGAAUAACCUGUCAGCAUCCUUUACUCAUCAGUGCCAAGUUCCUGUGUCCUCCCACCUUGACACCACUUCAAGAAUGCUGGCAGAGGGCUCAGAAGCAAAGGCAAGUGUGCCUUUGACUCCCAAAGCCCCAACUGGAAGCACAGGGCAAUGCCUUGUCUCUGUCUUCAAGAGAUAUCUAGAGAUACUGCACCUGCUCAGAAGGUUUCAGGCAAAACAGCAUUUCAGAGGAAUUCACCAAUUCAGCAAAAUCUCAGCAAGGUGAGUCAAUUUUGCCCAGGUUCCCAUGAAACUUGCACAGGGCUCCAAACAUCAGAAACCUGCUGAGUUUCCUGCCUGGUCACCCAUCUGGUUCCUCCACCGUUCAGCUUUCCAGGGCCCUGGGGCAGCCUGCUGCCAAAUAGGCUGCUUAGCAAGAGGGGAUUUCACUGCUCCCACACUUCUCAGUUUGAGCUGUCUCAGACAUUAGACCAUCUCAGGCAGGAAAUAUCAGAGCAUCCACAGAUGGAAAACCCAUGAAACCCAGUGGAGAGGCUGAGAGAUCAGUGGAUCAGCUCUUGAGACAACCCACAGUGCAAGCUGCUGCACUAUUCCCUUCUGCAGGAUUUGUACCUGGUUGUGUUCUGCUCUACUUUACUAAUUUCAUCAAAAUUAAACUUUUAUCCAAACUAUAAUCUCCUAUUUAAGCCCCUUCCUAGCAGACACCCUCUCAGAACAGCUAAUUUUCCUCUCAACAGCAGCCUCUGCACAUCAGUCCAGUUCCAGCUGCUCUCAGGUCGGGGCAGAGAGUUGUACAUCCUGUACGGCCCACCAGGAACAUUGCAGGGAUAUACAAAUCAGCCAAAUCUAAAUUAUCUGCUCUGGAAGACAGAUGAUAUGAACAAUCUUACAGUCCCAUGAGCUCACUGUGGGAGGAGAAUGAGGUAAAAUCUCUGUAUUUAUCCAUCUAAUGGAAAUAUUUGAUCUGCCUGAGGACUGCACACCUGAUAUUGUAACUACAGUGUC
rnacentral:lncRNA from 1 species